rnacentral:rRNA from 1 species
AUGCCGCUGGUCAGGUUCGAGGUGCGGAAUGAGGUCGGGCUCGGGGACCCCGGGCUGUACGGCGGCGCGGGAGCCGGCAAGAGAGGCGGCGUUGCCGGCGCCGCCGGGGAGGCCGAGCCCAAGGCGCUGCUCGAGGGCGUCGCCGUCGCGGGCCUCGUCGGGAUCCUGCGCCAGCUCGGAGAUCUCGCGGAAUUUGCAGCAGAUGUUUUUCAUGACCUACAUGAGCAAGUUAUAACUACAUCGGCUAGGGGGCGUAAGGUACUGACUCGAGUACAAAACAUUGAAGCAGCACUUCCGUCUCUUGAAAAAGCUGUGAAGAAUCAGAAGAGCCAUAUACAUUUUGCUUAUGUACCAGGCUCUGACUGGCACACACAACUUCAAAACGAGCAAAAUCAUCUCCUAUCCAGUGAUUUGCCUCGGUUUAUGAUGGAUUCCUAUGAAGAAUGUCGAGACCCUCCACGACUUUACCUUCUCGACAAAUUCGAUAAUGCUGGUGCUGGGGCUUGUUUGAAGAGAUAUUCUGACCCAUCAUACUUCAAGAAAUCAUGGGAUGUGAUGAGAGCAGACAAGACUGCACAUCUCCAAAAAGAAAGGAAAUCUCAUAAAAUCAAGAGAAAAGGAUCACGCCUAAAAGAACCAUAUCAUGGACAAGCCACAUCCAGGUAUAGGAAUGGUGAAUUGCAGCGCGCACUCACUGCUGUUCAACUUACCAGCAGCAGGCAGUGUGCAUCUCCCAGCAUGGAUGGCCGGAGUUUUUCAGAGCAUAGAUCUACAUCUGAUGCAAGAUCCAACCCUGACAAUAUAAGCAGAUCUUCUUCAUUCAGUUCAAAGGCACGACUAAGUUUUGCAGAACAAGCUUCAGAUACAAAACCUUCUGUAGUUCCUCAUGAGAAUGGUCAUGGCAAGCUGUCAAAUACUGAUACACACAAGCUUAAUGAUGGCUCUUCUCCCAUCUUGCUUAGCGGGAACAGGGAAGAUGAUCUGGGUGAUGAUUCGAAGCAAGGUUCCCUGUCAGAUGAGAUGAAUGCUAGGUCACCUUCUGUUGAAUGGCAUGAAAAGACUGCAAUUGUUAUGACUACAAGUUCUGUCUACUGUGAUGAUGUUGUCAUGGACAGGGCUGAAAGUGCAGAAACUAAACAUAUUAAGCCCGUGCAGCGAGAAUUUGAUCAUAGUGAGAUGGAGACCUUGGAGCAGCAGGGGGCCUUACUUCAGAAGGCAAAGUUGUUACUAUCAUCAGGCUUAAACCACCGUGAUGAAGUCCCCAGUGAAACAGAUAACUACAUGGAUGCACUUAACACACUUGAAUCCGAGACAGAGACUGAAGUUGACUUUCAAACUAAAAAACAAGGGAAGCCAGUACAUUCCUUCAAUGCUCAUGCACCUCAAAUAGAGUCGGCAGAUAAUAUCGUCUCACAGCUUCCUGAUUCUUCUCCCGCUGAGUUUCCUGAUACAAGUCCAAAUUCCAGAAUGUUACAUACUUUUGAAAGAACUGCCAAUUUCCCCAGUUUGUCAAGUGCAGAUGCUCCGGAUAUUUCACAGCAUACAUUGUCAGGUUAUACAGAUAUACAUCCUAAUGAAUGGUCAUCUGUUACCACCAUCCCUGAGAAUAAUGCAAAUGAGGCUGCUGGAGACCCCACUGAAAUUUCAGAACCGGCACUGCAAGCAUAUACAGCUACACCACCCAAUCAAAGCCCCCCUCAUGCAAAUGACAUUCCUGAGAGUAAGGCAGAAGUUGCCCCCAGAGAUUCUCCUGAGAUUUCAAAACCAGGGCUGUCAACCUAUGCAGUUUUUCCUCCCAACAAGGAGUCUGUUGUCAAUCAGAUCCCUGAGAAUAAUGUAGAAGAUGCGUUAGAAGAUGGUACCGUUGAAAGCACUAGUUGUCUUGUACCGGAACCUGCGAUUUCUUUUGCUCCAACUAGUGAGGCAUCUCCUGCAAAAAUCUUACCUGGUGAUACCACCGGUAACUCUGUAAUUUCAGAAAAGAGUCCUCAGGAUUAUCCUGGAGAAAAUCAUCAGGAAUUUGGUGGCUGUGGCAUGGCUGAAGUGUCUAAUUCACAGACCAUGCCUUUGAACGAGUCAUCAGAGAAUGGAUCUGCAACCCAACACCUUCCCACACAUGCUCCUACUAGUUCUGUAGAAUUAUCCUCUGUUAAGCUCUGGACAAAUGCUGGGCUCUUCGGACUUGAACCGUCUAAGCCUCCAGUUGGCAUAUGUCCUGGUUCUGCAAGCCAAAGCUACUCAGAGACUAAUCAAUCAGCCAUAAGAACACCUGAUGCAGUUUAUGGUCAAACAGACCGGCCCUCAGAUUCUUCCACAUAUUUCGAGCACAGGGAGCACAAAAAUUUGAAUGGCAAGCAAGCUUCAAUAAGUGAGCUCCUAGAAUCUGAAGGUAAUGCUGAAAAUGGUGCUGGAACAUACUCUGGCACUGACUUGGCUGGAAGGAAUAACUUGGACGUGGUGUCUGCAUCAAGCUUCUCGAGCAUUGCACAAAGAUUCCUUGCCAAUACACUUCAGAGAAGAACUUCUCCCAAAUAUAAUGAUCUCCCUAUCUCAUCUGGGAGAGUGAACACUGAUGCAAAUGGGUUUGAUGACGCUACUGUAAAUUCUACUCUUGCACCAAAGGAAGCAGUAUUUGAGGCAUCUCAGUUUGAGAAGAAAGCAGAUAAUGGCAUGGAUGGACUGCCCAAGUCAUCAAUCUUCUCUAGUCGCCAUUACUCUGAGAAAUCAUCUCCGCCACUAGAGCAUAUGAAAAUAUCCUUUCACCCCAUGAGUGCAUUUGAAACGUCAAAAUUGAACCUAGAUUUCUCUGAUGGCAACCUUCAUGAAAAUGUUGAUGAUAUGAUGUUACCAACAUUUCAGUUACUUCCAGGGUCUUCUGUCCCACAGCCCGGUAGUGGUUCUGAAUCAGAAGAUGACACCUUUGGUAGAUCUUAUAGUUAUUCUUCAUAUGAUGAUCUAAGUCCACAUUUAUAUUCAAACUCUGAGUUGUGGGAUCAAGAAGAUGGAAUUGGAUUGGAGGAUCAUGAGCUGUAUAAUGAUUCAAAUCAGAUAGGAUCCUCCACAACACCUGUCUCUAGCUAUAUGGGAUUCGAGCAGAUGAACUUAUCUGGUGAGAAGUCCACUGUUUCACUUUCAGAUAUUGGAGAUCAUAAUGGACUCGGCUUGUUAGAAUCCCAUCCUGCUGGAGAACUUCCGAACUUUGACACUUUGAUGUCAACAAGUAAUCUUCAAAAUGGAGAUGCGCUCAUUCCACAUAAUCCAGUCAAUUUAUCACCAGAUGAAGAUCAGAUGCCGCCGCCGCCUCCUCUUCCCCCAAUGCAGUGGAGGACAAUGAGACAAACAACUUCCCUGGAUGAAGAAAGAGACUCUACAGCUAAAGACAUACUUAAGAAUGCCUCAAGUCUACCACCUGUACACACUCCUGUGCAGGAACAACAUCUUCCGCCGUGUGCACCACCAUUUCCACAAGGAAAUGUCAAGGAAGUGAACCAUCAGAAAGUUGAUGUGAUCAAAGAAACGAGUAAUCUUCCUAAUAUAUUUGAGAUCAAAUCAAGCUUGCUUCAGCAAAUCAGGGAUAAGCCAGAUCUGCACAAGCUGAAUGGACAUGAAAAGCCCAAAGCAGUAUUCAAUGAUGUUAACAGUUUGGAUGAAAGGGGGGAGUUGCUUCAGCAAAUCAGGAGCAAGACAUUCAACUUAAGACGAACAAAUGGAUCUAAGACAAACACCUCAUCACAGUCAACCGAGUCCACUGCCAAUUCCAGCGUUGUAGCAAUUUUGGAGAAGGCGAAUGCAAUCCGGCAGGCUGUGGCCAGUGAUGAGGGAGGUGAUGAUGAUAACUGGAGUGAUAUCAACUGA